GGCCAGAUAGCUCAGUUGGUAGAGCAAGGGAUUGAAAAUCCCUGUGUCCCUGGUUCGAUUCCAGGUCUGGCCACCA
rnacentral:tRNA from 1 species